UACGUAGGGGGCGAGCGUUGUCCGGAUUUAUUGGGCGUAAAGAGCGUGUAGGCGGUUCGGUAAGUCUGUCGUGAAAUCCUGAGGCUCAACCUCGGGCGUGCGAUGGAUACUGCCGGGCUAGAGGGUGGUAGAGGCGAGUGGAAUUCCCGGUGUAGCGGUGAAAUGCGCAGAUAUCGGGAGGAACACCGAGUAGCAGAAGGCGGCUCGCGU
rnacentral:rRNA from 1 species